UUGACCUCGGAUCAGGUAGGGAUACCCGCUGAACUUAAGCAUAUCAAUAAGCGGAGGAAAAGAAACCAACCGGGAUUGCCUCAGUAACGGCGAGUGAAGCGGCAAGAGCUCAAAUUUGAAAUCUGGCCCCUCCGGGGUCCGAGUUGUAAUUUGCAGAGGAUGCUUCGGGUGCGGCCCCUGUCUAAGUGCCCUGGAACGGGCCGUCAGAGAGGGUGAGAAUCCCGUCUUGGGCAGGGUGCCCGUGCCCGUGUGAAGCUCCUUCGACGAGUCGAGUUGUUUGGGAAUGCAGCUCUAAAUGGGUGGUAAAUUUCAUCUAAAGCUAAAUACCGGCCGGAGACCGAUAGCGCACAAGUAGAGUGAUCGAAAGAUGAAAAGCACUUUGAAAAGAGAGUUAAACAGCACGUGAAAUUGUUGAAAGGGAAGCGCUUGCGACCAGACUCGGCCCCGGGGUUCAGCCAGCACUCGUGCUGGUGUACUUCCCCGGGGGCGGGCCAGCGUCGGUUUGGGCGGCCGGUCAAAGGCCCCAGGAAUGUGUCACCCUCCGGGGUUGUCUUAUAGCCUGGGGUGCAAUGCGGCCAGCCCGGACCGAGGAACGCGCUUCGGCACGGACGCUGGCGUAAUGGUCGCAAACGACC
rnacentral:rRNA from 1 species